GACAGAGGGUGCGAACGUUGUUCGGAAUUACUGGGCGUAAAGCGCAUGUAGGCGGCAGCGCAAGUCGGGCGUGAAAUCCCACGGCUCAACCGUGGAAGUGCACUCGAAACUGCGCAGCUAGAGUCCUGGAGAGGAAGGUGGAAUGCUUGGUGUAGAGGUGAAAUUCGUAGAUAUCAAGCGGAACACCGGUGGCGAAGGCGGCCUUCUGGACAGUGACUGACGCUGAGGCGCGACAGCGUGGGGAGCAAACAGG
rnacentral:rRNA from 1 species